rnacentral:lncRNA from 1 species
UAUCUGAAAAUGCCUAUCCAUGUCCCUUGCCCAUUUAUCAAUUGGGGAAUGGCUUGAUUUUUUGUACAAUUGAUUUAGCUCUUUAUAAAUUUGAGUAAUUAAACCUUUGUCAGAGGUUUUUAUGAAGAUUUUUUCCCAAUUUGUUGUUUUCCUUCUGAUUUUAGUUGCAUAGGUUUUGUUUGUACAAAAGCUUUUUAAUUUGAUAUAGUCGAAAUUAUUUAUUUUACAUUUUGUGAUUCUUUCUAUGUCUUGCUUGGUUUUAAAGUCUUUCCCCUCCCAAAGGUCUGACAUGUAUACUAUUCUGUGUUUACCCAAUUUACUUAUGGUUUCCUUCUUUAUGUUCACCCAUUUUGAAUUUAUCUUGGUGUAGGGUGUGAGGUGUUGAUCUAUUCCUAGUCUCUCCCACACUGUCUUCCAAUUUUCCCAGCAGUUUUUAUCGAAUAGUGGAUUUUUGUCCCAAAAGCUGGGAUCUUUGGGUUUAUCGUAUACUGUCUUGCUGAGGUCGUUUUCCCCCAGUCUAUUCCACUGAUCUUCCUUUCUGUUUCUUAGCCAGUACCAAAUUGUUUUGAUGACUGCUGCUUUGUAAUAUAGUUUGAGGUCUGGGACUGCAAGGCCCCCAUCAUAUGUGUUUUUUUUCAUUAUUUCCCUGGAUAUCCUUGAUCUUUUGUUCUUCCAAAUGAACUUUGUUAUGGUUUUUUCUAAAUCAGUGAAGAAGUAUUUUGGUAGUUCAAUGGGUAUGGCACUAAAUAGAUAAAUAAGUUUGGGUAGGGAUGGUCAUUUCUACUAUAUUGGCUCGUCCUAUCCCAUGAGCAGUUAAUGUUUUUCCACUUGUUCAAGUCUAGUUUUAGUUGUGUGGCAAGUGUUUUGUAGUUGUGUUCAUAUAGUUCCUGUGUUUGUCUUGGGAGAUAGAUUCCUAGGUAUUUUAUUUUGUCUAAGGUGAUUUUGAAUGGGAUUUCUCUUUCUAGUUCUUGCUGCUGAGCUGUGUUGGAGAUAUAUAGAAAAGCUGAUGAUUUAUGUGGGUUUAUUUUGUAUCCUGCAACUUUGCUAAAGUUGUUGAUUAUUUCAAUUAGCUUUUUGGUUGAAUCUCUAG